AUUAAAGAAAUAGCUGGAGAAAAACAAGGGCUUGGCAAAGCUGUUUAGAUGAACGUGUUCGAACAGAAGAAGUUUCUUUUUGGUCGAUUAAGCAGCGGAUAGAAAGAAUGUGCACAGUGACCAGACUGUGACAUCACCUCACCGUCUGAAAGAUGGCGCGCGGAUGAACCCUGAGGCCUCGCGCAGCCGCUGAUCCGACAGGCAAUUUGAUCAGUAGGCUAUGUGGUGGAGUAUGACAGCUGCUUGAAUUAGAUGUCAAGAUCUCUGAUCAACUGUGAAGAGCACUAGAGUCAUGAACACUAAACUUGUACUUGCCACAGCAGAAGUAAAAUGUAUGCACUGG